rnacentral:rRNA from 1 species
GCAAGUCGAGCGGACAGAUGGGAGCUUGCUCCCUGAUGUUAGCGGCGGACGGGUGAGUAACACGUGGGUAACCUGCCUGUAAGACUGGGAUAACUCCGGGAAACCGGGGCUAAUACCGGAUGCUUGAUUGAACCGCAUGGUUCAAUUAUAAAAGGUGGCUUUCAGCUACCACUUACAGAUGGACCCGCGGCGCAUUAGCUAGUUGGUGAGGUAACGGCUCACCAAGGCGACGAUGCGUAGCCGACCUGAGAGGGUGAUC